GGCUCGUUGGUCUAGGGGUAUGAUUCCUGCUUCGGGUGCAGGAGGUCCCGGGUUCAAAUCCCGGACAAGCCC
rnacentral:tRNA from 1 species